rnacentral:rRNA from 1 species
UGCGAGUCGAGAGGGUUCGGCCCUCGGCAGACGGCUCAGUAACACGUGGAUAAUCUGCCCUUAGGUGGAGGAUAACCUCGGGAAACUGAGAAUAAUACUCCAUAGAUCUAAGAUGCUGGAAUGCACUUAGAUUAAAAGUUCCGGCGCCUAAGGAUGAGUCUGCGGACUAUCAGGUAGUAGUCAGGGUAAAGGCCUGACUAGCCUACGACGGAUACGGGUUGUGAGAGCAAUAACCCGGAGACGAUAUCUGAGACACGAUAUCGGGCCCUACGGGGCGCAGCAGGCGCGAAACCUUCGCACUGUGCGAAAGCACGAUGAGGGAAUCCCAAGUGCUUGCUCGUAAGAGUAAGCUGUUUUUAUGUCUAAAAAGCAUAGAGAGUAAGGGCUGGGUAAGACGGGUGCCAGCCGCCGCGGUAAUACCUGCAGCUCAAGUGGUGACCGCUAUUAUUGGGCCUAAAACGUUCGUAGCCGGUUUGGUAAAUGCCUGGGUAAAUCGUGUAGCUUAACUAUACGAAUUCCGGGUAGACUGCCAAACUUGAGACCGGGAGAAGCUAGAGGUACUCCUGGGGUAGAGGUGAAAUUCUGUAAUCCUAGGGGGACCACCAGUGGCGAAGGCGUCUAGCUAGAACGGGUCUGACGGUGAGGAACGAAGCCCUGGGGCGCGAACCGGAUUAGAUACCCGGGUAGUCCAGGGUGUAAACGCUGCUUGCUUGAUGUUAGUUGGGCUCCGAGCCCAAUUAGUGUCGGAGAGAAGUUGUUAAGCAAGCUGCCUGGGAAGUACGAUCGCAAGAUUGAAACUUAA